UAAAGUGGCUAGUGAUACAUGUAUUACAUAAGGAUGCAGUCGAUGAUAUAGAGUACAGUAUCAACGUAUGCAUAUGAGAUGAACAAUGUAGGGUAAGUAACAUUAUAUAAGGUAGCAUUGUUUAAAGUGGCUAGUGAUAUAUUUACAUCAUUUCCCAUCAAUUCCCAUGAUUAAAGUGGCUGGAGUAGAGUCAGUGUCAUUGACAGUGUGUUGGCAGUAGCCACUCAAUGUUAGUGGUGGCUGUUUAACAGUCUGAUGGCCUUGAGAUAGAAGCUGUUUUUCAGUCUCUCGGUCCCAGCUUUGAUGCACCUGUACUGACCUCGCCUUCUGGAUGACAGCGGGGUGAACAGGCAGUGGCUCGGGUGGUUGAUAUCCUUGAUGAUCUUUAUGGCCUUCCUGUAGCAUCGGGUGGUGUAGGUGUCCUGGAGGGCAGGUAGUUUGCCCCCGGUGAUGCGUUGUGCAGACCUCACUACCCUCUGGAGAGCCUUACGGUUGAGGGCGGUGCAGUUGCCAUACCAGGCGGUGAUACAGCCCGCCAGGAUGGUGGGAGGGUUAAAUACACAACAGGUAAUUAAAUGGCAUUGAAACCAGGUGUGUUGGAAGACAAGACAAAACCAAUGGGAAAUGAAAAAUGGAUCAAUGAUGACUAGAAGACCGGUGACGUCGACCGAGGAGCACCGCCCGAACAAGGAGAGGCAACAACUUCGGCAGAAGUAGUGACAACGGGUUUAGGAUUGUAUAGGGUUAAAACAUUAGGUUUAGUCUCUCAUUCUAAAUGGUUAAGGUAAAGGUCAAGGUUUGGAAAGGGUUAAGGUACUGGUCAAGGAUUGGAUAGGGUUAAGGUACUGGUUAAGGUUUGGAUAGGGUUAAGGUACUGGUUAAGGAUUGGAUAGGAUUAAGGUACUGGUCAAGGUUUGGAUAGGGUUAAGGUACUGGUUAAGGAUUGGAUAGGGUUAAGGUACUGGUCAAGGUUUGGAUAGGGUUAAGGUACUGGUUAAGGAUUGGAUAGGGUUAAGGUACUGGUCAAGGUUUGGAUAGGGUUAAGGUUUGGAUAGGGUUAAGGUACUGGUUAAGGUUUGGAUAGGGUUAAGGUACUGGUUAAGGUUUGGAUAGGGUUAAGGUACUGGUCAAGGUUUGGAUAGGGUUAAGGUACUGGUCAAGGUUUGGAUAGGGUUAAGGUACUGGUUAAGGAUUGGAUAGGGUUAAGGUACUGGUUAAGGAUUGGAUAGGGUUAAGGUACUGGUCAAGGUUUGGAUAGGGUUAAGGUACUGGUUAAGGAUUGGAUAGGGUUACGGUACUGGUCAAGGUUUGGAUAGGGUUAAGGUACUGGUUAAGGAUUGGAUAGGAUUAAGGUACUGGUCAAGGUUUGGAUAGGGUUAAGGUACUGGUUAAGGAUUGGAUAGGGUUAAGGUACUGGUCAAGGUUUGGAUAGGGUUAAGGUACUGGUCAAGGAUUGGAUAGGGUUAAGGUACUGGUUAAGGAUUGGAUAGGGUUAAGGUACUGGUCAAGGUUUGGAUAGGGCUAAGGUACUGGUUAAGGAUUCUAUAGGGUUAAGACAUUGAGUUUAGUCUCUCAUUCUGAAUGGUUAAGGUAAAGGUCAAGGUUUGGAUAGGGUUAAGUUAAAACCAACUAUAAAAACCAGUGUCUGUGACCAGGAUCAAACACACAGCCUUCUGAUCCAGAGGUAUGGGAUUCCACCUCUCCAUCCGCUCAUCCACAACACUCCAGCAAAACCCAGGCCUACUUGAUGGUAAUAGUGCUCACUGUUGCCUCUAGUGGCUGGUUUUGAAGGCAUUUCCCGAUGUCUUCAGGAAAGCGAUAGACGUCCAAUUUCAACAAUAAUCUUGAACGAACUGGCUGCACACACACACACACACACACACACACACACACACACACAAUGCCUCGGAUCCCUAAGCGCUUCCUGCUAGCCGACCUGUGAAUGUCUAUCUGCUAGGAGGGCUCUUACUCUGGCCCUUUGCCUCAUACUUGGAGAUUGCCCCACAUUUGGAGGAGGGAUGGGAUGAUGGUACAAGUCAGUUAGUAUGACGCGAGGGCACUGAGGGAGUGUCCCAAAUGUCAGCCUAUUACCUAUAGUGCACUACUUUUGCCCAGGGUUCAUAGGGAAGAGGAUGCCAUUUGGUAUGGUACCUACCUACUGCAUCAUUUUAAAGAUACUGUAUAGAUAGAUAUAUACAGUACCAGUCAAAGUUUGGACUCAGCUACUCAAUCAAGGUUUUUUCUUUGUUUUGUACUAUUUUGUACAAAACUAUGACACAUAUGGAAUCAUGCAGUAACCAAAAAAGUGUAAAACAAAUCAAAAUAUAAUUUAUAUUUGAGAUUCUUCAAAGUAGCCACCCCUUGCCUCGAUAACAGCUUUGCACACUCUUGGCAUUCUCUCAACCGGCUUCAUGAGGUAGUCACCUGGAAUGCAUUUCAAUUAACAUGUGUGCCUUGUUAAAAGUUAAUUUGUGGAAUUUCUUUCCUUCUUUAAUGAGUUUGAGCCAAUCAGUUGUGUUUUGACAAGGUAGGGGUGGUAUACAGGUAAAAGACAAAGUCCAUAUUAUGGCAACAACAGCUAAGCAAAGAGAAACAACAGUGGGUCCAAACUUUUGACUGGUACUAUAUGUAGUGCACUACUUUUGACCAGGGUUCAUAUAUGUAGUGCACUACUUUUGACCAGGGUUCAUAUAUGUAGUGCACUACUUUUGGCCAGGGUUCAAAUAUGUAGUGCACUACUUUUGGCCAGGGUUCAUAUAUGUAGUGCACUACUUUUGACCAGGGUUCAUAUAUGUAGUGCACUACUUUUGGCCAGGGUUCAAAUAUGUAGUGCACUACUUUUGGCCAGGGUUCAUAUAUGUAGUGCACUACUUUUGACCAGGGUUCAUAUAUGUAGUGCACUACUUUUGGCCAGGGUUCAUAUAUGUAGUGCACUACUUUUGGCCAGGGUUCAUAUAUGUAGUGCACUACUUCUGACCAGGGUUCAUAUAUGUAGUGCACUACAUUUGACCAGGGUUCAUAUAUGUAGUGCACUACUUUUGACCAGGGCUGCUGUUUAACAGGCUCCCAACCAGCUGUGCUAUUGUGUUAGUUUUUUCGCAUUGUUAGUAACUUGUUUUGUACAUAAUGUUGCUUCUACCGUCUCUUAUGACCGGAAAGAGCUUCUGGACGUCAGAACGGCGAUUCCUCACCUCGAACUGGAUGAAGAUUUUUUCUUUAAUGAGUCCGAUGCAAAGGAUUUACUGCUUUGUCAAGGUCCAAAUCCCCGUCAU
ensembl:lncRNA